CACGUAGGGUGCGAGCGUUGUCCGGAAUUAUUGGGCGUAAAGAGCUCGUAGGCGGUGUGUCGCGUCGGCCGUGAAAACCUGGGGCUCAACUCUGGGCGUGCGGUCGAUACGGGCAUCACUUGAGUUCGGCAGGGGAGACUGGAAUUCCUGGUGUAGCGGUGAAAUGCGCAGAUAUCAGGAGGAACACCGGUGGCGAAGGCGGGUCUCUGGGCCGAUACUGACGCUGAGGAGCGAAAGCAUGGGGAGCGAACAGG
rnacentral:rRNA from 1 species